AAAAAAAAACCUUUAAAAAUACAAGAUAAAUAAUUGGUUCUCUUAUAUUUUUUUUUAUUUUUUACAUACAGAAUAAUUAGCUAGUUCAGUUACAGAGCCAAUGCAUAACACCACCCACCUCAAAGUGCUUUAUAUCAUCAGCUAGGCCAUACAAUACCAGAGAGAAGUCCAAAAAUCACUCCCAUUUAAUAGGAAGAACCAUUCAGCAGAACCAAGCUCUUAGGUUAAAGAAAAAACAUAAAAGAGGAAGAACGAUCAACAAAACACAGACUACAGGAGAGAGAGGGCAUUGUUAAUGACGUUCAGCAGUGGCACAUAGACACGUGGAGAAGAAAUGCUGUGUCCAUCAUGGGAAGGCCUCCAACAGACUGAUGUAAGAUGCAUAACUAAGUGAUGUUUCAAAAAGGAACACUUUAAGGCUAACCUUAAAAACACAGGGGACGUCUGUCUCCUGAAUCCAAAGUGUAAAUGGUUCUACAAAGGAACCUGAGACUUGAAGGCUCUGCCUCGCAUUCUACUUUUAGAGGCUCUAGGAACGACAAGCAAGCCUGUAGUCGUUGAUCAAAGUGCUCUACUGGGAUAAUAUGGCACAGUGAGAUCUGUAAGUUAUCAUGGCACAUGAUAAUUCAAAACUUUGUAUCUCAGGAGAAAGAUUUUAACAUUAGAACCACCUGUGUAAUACUGUGUAGCUGACCUACCAUAGAUGAACACAAGACUUUGACAGUGAAUUCUUUCAGGAGGUUGGAGCGUUCAUGGAUUGUUGUCAGCAGUUUGUGCCGUUAACACAAGGGACGCUUCACAGUCACAGUAACAAUAAAUGCCAGAACCAUAGACUGCAUAUAAAACAUGAAUGUAGCUUUGGCGUUUGGAAAGUGAAGCCAGUAAUUCAGCUUUCAGUAUUCCUGAUGGCCGUGAGGAGGGAACUCAUUUGGUUUCGAAAAUAAUUCUUCUUCUAUGGAAGUCUGGAAAACAAAGACUUUGAUCCACAACCUCAGGAAACACUUUCCUGAUGAAUUCGUGGCCAGAGUCACUAGUUUCAAGUCUUAUUUAAUACAAUGUGACUUUCAUUGUAUAAAUUAUGUUCUCCUUUGUGUAACUGACAACUUGCAAGCCUUUGAGCGUGUGCCUCAAUUAAACAGUGAAAUCCACACUCACUUGUCACAUCCCAGAUUCAACAUGUCUAGACUGUCACGGCAAAAGUGCACAGCUUGAGGCUUCAUAACAAGUUUUUGCAAACUAAUGGAUGGACUCACAACAGUGACAGUCUGUGGCAUAAUGUUGCUUUCUAAAGAUAUGACCGGUGUUUUCUUUUGGCUUUUUUUUUAUAUAUAUAUUUUUCUCAUUUUUUUCUGAAUUACAAUAUAUGAGAUUAUUUUCUUGUUCAUCCCAUAAGAGCACUCAGUUUCAUAACAAGAAACCGAGGGUUCUUCAUGUCUGGUUCAGACAUGAAAUUAACCAAAACAUUGGUCCAACUCAUGCAUUUGCCACAACAAAGAAGGCAGAUGUUGUAAAUUCUCCUCAGCAUCAACUCCACAUGCCAUCGUCCCUAUUCUUCAUCUCAUUACUUGGCAUAUAUAAUCUCUGGUCGUACUGUGGCUUUUUGGGGCAGGGAGACAGAGUGAACUAUAAAGGGUUUUAUACAAGCUGAGGAGUGGAGUUAAACUGGAAGGCAGUCUGCAUGUUUGUAUGGAAACAAUUCUUUCAUGAGUUGCAAUUCUGUUUGAUUCCAGAUGUAAAAAGCCACAGGGAGAGAAAGAUGCAUAUCAGUCUUGACACCUAAAUCCAGGAUGAUGCUGCACUUGAAGUGCUAUCCUAACCUCACCGAAAAGACUACAUUUAGCAAAAGUAUUCUCUGUGCAUUUCUUUUCCUAAGCAAUAAUGAUUCUGAACAAGCAGGAUAGAAAUUCUUCCAGUUAUAUUAAAGGAUCCACAUACUUUUUUGGGGAAGAAAAGAUUUUCCCACACAACCAUCUCUGGGGAUUAAAAAGAGGAACAUAUGCAGUGAGCAGCAGUCCUUUGAGUAAAAAUGCCUUGUUGAUGUCAGAGGAGAAUGGCGAGACUGCUUCAAGAUAAUAGGAAAGCAGAAAUAACUCAAAUAACCACUCAUAUCAACCAAGGUGUGUAGAAAGACAUCUCUGAAUAACACAUUGAAUCCUGUAGCAGAUGGUCUACAACAGCAGAAGACUACAUCAGGUCCCACUCCCGUCAACUAAGACAGCACAGGCUCACCAAAAUUGGAAAUUAGAAGACUGGAAAAACAAUAUGAGCAACAUUCAGAAGGGAAGCACGUUUUCUUUCUGGCUGCUUCUCUGUGGUCUGACCAGGAACUAACUCAUCCUUAUUCUAGAAAGUGAACCACAACAUGUGGCAACAGAGCCCACAAACAUGAGCUCAUUCCUCUUGAGGGGAAACUAGCAACUGAAAAAAACAGAGAUAGAAAGAGAGAAAGUCCCAGUGUUCCUCUCCACAUCCAUUUGUCUUUGGACUACAUUCCUGCUCCUCUUCCUCAAAUGAAAUGGUUAUCCCUGCAAACAAUGAGAAGACUGAGCUGCAGGAGCAUCUGCAGCAUGUGAAGUGGGACAUGAAACAAAAAUUGGCUCACAAGGUCGAGGUCAACUUCAGCAUCAGCACAUUCUUUGAGCCAAGGCGUUGGAGAGAAAGCAGGCGCGAACUGAAAAUGGCCCUAGUCUCUUCCUAACAUGCUUUUAUUUCCCACAUACUUCGUGAUCAGCAGGCCUCAGUAUGUUAUCAGGUAAUACUGAGACAAACAGCUGCUUACGUGCUGAAAUGUGGAUGUAUUAUUUGAGAAAAGCAUUACACAUGAAUCAGAAGAACAAUACAUUUUGACCAAUAGGCUAACAAUUAAAGUAAACUCAUCAGUAUUAAAAAUACAGCUGGAAAGGUGAACUGUUCCUACUUUAAGAGCAAGUGCAAGUGCAGGCAGAUAUGUUGCAAAAUGUAUUUACCAUCAUAAUUAAAUACAAAAAAAGAAUGUGCAGAAAAAAUCUGAACUCUAAACUCACACCUAUGAUAUUAAUUUAAAAAUCAUAGUUGACCUUUUCGAGUUAUUGUAACAAAAAAAGGAAAAAAGUCUUUUCUGUGGCUAAGUCCUCAAUUUUCCUUUAUUCCUUGUAAUGUUGUCAGUCUCCAUAUGAGUCACGUUGACCACGUGCUGUGUGCUUCAUGCUUUGCUCUGGAAUGUCAGGUUUCAAAUAGCAUGUACCCGAUAUUGCCUUGCCAUGCCAUGCCAGAGAUAUAAGAUUGUGUGUAACUGUAAAAUCAAAUGACUAUUAUUUAUUUGCAAUAAAAUAACAUAAAACACACACCAAAGUACACACAGGACUUUUUAUUAGUAAGUUACAAUGCGGACACAUGCACUGCCAAGGACAUUUAAAAAAAAAAAUAAUACUAUGACAUUUCAUCAUGUUUCAGUUAAACAAGUUAAGAAUCAAGCAGUUAAGUAAGAAAAGAUUUUUUCUGUUUAUAACAAUUAGAACAUGUAUGAUUGAACACAGAAGAAACAUGCACUUUACUGCACUGCAACAUAGAAAAUUAUCCUAAG